rnacentral:rRNA from 1 species
CAAGACCGCGAGGUUUAGCAAAUCUCUUAAAGCCGUUCUCAGUUCGGAUUGUAGGCUGCAACUCGCCUACAUGAAGUCGGAAUCGCUAGUAAUCGCGGAUCAGCAUGCCGCGGUGAAUACGUUCCCGGGCCUUGUACACACCGCCCGUCACACCAUGAGAGUUUGUAACACCCAAAGCCGGUGGGGUAACCUUUUGGAGCCAGCCGUCUAAGGUGGGACAGGUGAUUGGGGUGAAGUCGUAACAAGGUAUC